UACGAAGGGGGCUAGCGUUGCUCGGAAUCACUGGGCGUAAAGCGCACGUAGGCGGAUUGUUAAGUCAGGGGUGAAAUCCUGGAGCUCAACUCCAGAACUGCCUUUGAUAACUGCGUAUUGCAGUCCGGGAGAGGUGAGUGGAACUCGAGAGUGAGGUGGAAAUUCGUAGAUAUUCGAAGAACACCAAGUGGCGAAGGCGGACUCACUGGCCCGGUAGUGACGCUGAGGUG
rnacentral:rRNA from 1 species